GUCUAUGGCCAUGCCACCCUGAACAAGCCCGAUCCUGUCUUGAUCUUGGAAGCUAAGCAGGGUCGGGCCUGGUUAGUACUUGGAUGGGAGACCACCUGGGAAGACCAGGUGCCGUAGGUG
rnacentral:rRNA from 1 species